rnacentral:rRNA from 1 species
UUUGGAGAUGACCAUGUUACUUUGGAUAACUGCGGUAAUUCUGGGAGCUAAUACAUGCAACAAGCCCCGAUUCACGGAGGGGCGCUUUUAUUAGAUCAAAACCAAACGGCUUCGGCUGUCUCGCUUGGUGACUCUGAAUAACUUUGGGCUGAUCCCAUGGCCUUGCUCCGGCGACAUUUCCUUCGAAGGUGUGCCCUAUCAACUGUCGACUGUGGCAUAUACCCCCACAGUGGUUUUGUCGGGUUCGGGAACUCAGGGUUCCACUCCGGAAAGGGAUCCUUAAAAACGGCUACCACUUCUAAGGAAGGCAGCAGGC